rnacentral:lncRNA from 1 species
GUGCCUUUGAAAUGAUCGAUACACCUUCUCUGAUUCCUUUUAUUUUUAGAGACCCACAUUUGUUGCUUCCAUUCUUCCUAAUGGCAUCAAAUAUCGGAUCUCAAAUUGGUCAUCCUCGAAACAACGCUGAAAUCGAUCAAGUUCGUUGGUGAUUUGGCUCAGUAUCUUUACAAAUAUUCUCCUCUACAUUGCUCCCAUUUCGAUCUAUCUCUCUUCUUCAUUUUAUUUUAUCCUUAUUUUUUGCAAGGGACUUCCUACAAAAUGCAGAUAAAUAGAUUGUUGAAGGCAUGCUGUUUAUGUGGUUGUUAUAGAUAAAUUAUCUCUAUAAUUCAUCAUUGUUCUGCUCCUGCUUUAAUUUUUUUCUAAAUUUGAGAGUGACUCUGGUGCACAAGGUUUGUACCUUCAUCUUCUUUUGCAUUAAAUUCUUGAUUUAUUUUCUUUUUUAUUUGUUACUUUGACUUUUAUAGUGCAGUGUGAAUUAUUUUCUACUUUGAUAUGGUGGUCCUGUUAAGCUAUACAAAAUAAAAAUUAUUUAGUUGUCACUACAUGUCUUUCAAAUGAAGUUUUAUUGUUUCUGUCCAUUGGGUUAUACAUUGUACUAAUCUUUAUGUUUACAAAAAGAAUGUAAUGAGUAUAUAUAGUUUUUGAGUUAUACAUUGGGUUUAAGUACAUUAAUU